ACGCUCGACACCUACGGAGGCAGCAGUUAGGAAUAUUGGGCAAUGGAGGAAACUCUGACCCAGCAACGCCGCGUGAAGGAAGAAGGUUUUCGGAUUGUAAACUUCUGAUCUAGGGGAAGAAGGAAGUGACGGUACCCUAGGAGAAAGCCACGGCUAACUACGUGCAAGCAGCCGCGGUAAUCUGAGCGGGCUGGCAAGGC
rnacentral:rRNA from 1 species